rnacentral:lncRNA from 1 species
UGCAACGUCACUACGCUCUGAGCAGGCCGACAGUCAUAGACGAGUAGACCUUAGGCGAGGGAAGGCAUGUACUUUCCCUAAGAAGCGGGAGGAGAGAAAUAAAUAGAGGGCAGUGGGAUGAGAAGAACCUCGCGGGAUGGGAAGCCGCGGAGGGAAGGGCCGUCUUUGGUUACCUGGAGAGCGGGAGCAGCUGCGGAUCCCUUAUGAAGUGCCCGGAUGAAGCUCCAGCGCUCACGCGCUUUCCGCAUUGAGUGCAGCGCCAUCUUGAGAAGGGCGGAGCCGUCUUGUUUGGAAUGACGUCUGUUCAGAGAGCCAAUCCCAGUCUCGCGACUCCUGCUUGCUGGGCGCGGCUUGGGCCUCCAGGCUGCGCAGCGCAGCCGCUAUCGGGCGGACUGCAGUUCUUGCCGAGCAGGGGAGCAGGAGAGUCAGUCUAAGAAGGAAAUGUGAUGAUGGAAACAGAGGUUGGAAGAUGGAAGAGGACCCAGAGUCAAGGAAUGCAGGUAGAAAAGAAAAGCCUGGAUUCUCCCCUAAAGCCUCCAGAUGGAACACAGCCCUGCCUCCACCUUGAUUUCAGGACUUCUUACCCCAAGAAUCGUAAGCUAAUACAUUUGUUUUUGUUUUUGUUUUUGUUUUCUUUGAGAUGGAGUCUUGCUCUGCUGCCCAGGCUGGAGUGCAGUGGACUGAUCUUGGCUCACUGCAGCGUCCAUCUUCCGGGUUCAAGCGAUUCUCCUGCUUCAGCCUCUCAAGUAGCUGGGAUUACAGGCGCCCACCACACCCGGCUAAUUUUUUUUUUUUUUAAUACUUUAAGUUUUAGGUUACAUGUGCACAA